rnacentral:rRNA from 1 species
GAAUCUGCCCUCAGGUACGGAAUAACUCAGGGAAACUUGAGCUAAUACCGUAUAAUGACUUCGGUCCAAAGAUUUAUCGCCUGGGGAUGAGCCCGCGUCGGAUUAGCUAGUUGGUGAGGUAAAGGCUCACCAAGGCGACGAUCCGUAGCUGGUCUGAGAGGAUGAUCAGCCACACUGGGACUGAGACACGGCCCAGACUCCUACGGGAGGCAGCAGUGGGGAAUAUUGGACAAUGGGCGCAAGCCUGAUCCAGCAAUGCCGCGUGAGUGAUGAAGGCCUUAGGGUUGUAAAGCUCUUUUACCCGGGAAGAUAAUGACUGUACCGGGAGAAUAAGCCCCGGCUAACUCCGUGCCAGCAGCCGCGGUAAUACGGAGGGGGCUAGCGUUGUUCGGAAUUACUGGGCGUAAAGCGCACGUAGGCGGCUUUGCAAGUUAGAGGUGAAAGCCCGGGGCUCAACUCCGGAAUUGCCUUUAAAACUGCAUCGCUAGAAUCGUGGAGAGGUGAGUGGAAUUCCGAGUGUAGAGGUGAAAUUCGUAGAUAUUCGGAAGAACACCAGUGGCGAAGGCGACUCACUGGACACGUAUUGACGCUGAGGUGCG